rnacentral:misc_RNA from 1 species
CAGAGUUGCAAGACUCCCUAAACCAUUGUGAACCUACCUUCUACCGUUGCUUCGGCGGGCGGGCCCAGCGCCCCCCCCGGCCCCCCGCGGGCGCCCGCCGGAGGAUACCCAAACUCUUGACAUUAGUGGCCUCUCCGAGUAUUCUUUACUGAAUAAGUCA